GAAUAUUGGACAAUGGGCGGAAGCCUGAUCCAGCCAUCCCGCGUGCAGGAUGAAGGCCCUCCGGGUCGUAAACUGCUUUAGACUGGGAAGACACCACUUGACGUGUCAGGUGUUGACGGUACCAGUAGAAUAAGCAACGGCUAACUCCGUGCCAGCAGCAGCGGUAAUACGGAGGGUGCAAGCGUUAUCCGGAAUCACUGGGUUUAAAUGGUGCGUAGGCGGAUUGAUAAGUCAGGGGUGAAAGCCUUCCGCUUAACGGAAGAACUGCCUUUGAUACUGUUAAGCUUGAAAGAGGUUGAGGUCAGCGGAACGUGACAUGUAGCGGUGAAAUGCAUAGAUAUGUCACAGAACACCAAUUGCGAAGGCAGCUGACUGGACCUACUUUGACGCUGAGGCACGAAAGCGUGGGGAGCGAACAGG
rnacentral:rRNA from 1 species